UUUUCUAAUUAUAGGCGAUUUUAUACAUAACCGCAGUCAAGUUUUUUUUUUUUUUUUUAAUUUUUUUAUCAUAAUUUUUCCACACCCAAAUAGAACUUUGUUUUUCACCUUCAGAGCUUGAGGUAUUUUUGAGUUUCUUCACUGCGUCAUUUCCACCUUCAUCUUCGCGUCUCCCCUUCUUUGACUUUCUACACUGCGUCAUUUCCACCUUCACCUUCGUGUCUCCCCUUCUUCAUUUUUAGCUUUCGCCUUUCGACUUCUUCAUCUUCACAAUCCUUCGUCACUUCGCAAUCCCUAGCCUUCUCCUCCUCCAAAUUCCUAAUUCCGAAAACCCAAGCAUUAGGAGCUCACUGUUCUUGCGAUUGACGUUUUUCAGGAGAUCUCCGAUGGUGGUUUUGAGGAGCUUGUGAUUCGCACGGGUCGCCAUUUCCAUCUUCCCAACCUUUGUGUCUUGUCGUUUCCAUCUUCACAGCCUUCGCGUCUCGACUUUUCUAUCCUCACAGUCCUUCGUCACUUCGCAAUCCCCAAUUCUCUUGUUUUUCUCUAUUUCAAAUCCUUAAUUCCAAAAACCUAAAGCUAGCCGAUCUUGCGAUUGGCGUUUUUGAGGAGUUUGCGAGUGAGUCGCACAAGGUGGAAUCAGUCGUUGACCGGAGUCACCUCCUUCUUCACGGCCUCCUCGACGGUGUUAACACUUGGUUUACCUCCUUGACAGUGUUUCAAGAUACUUGCAAACAAGAGAGAGUGCUUUGCUCUGUACUGAGGAAAAUCCUAUUCUUCAAUUGGCUUUGCAUGAUGAUAACAUAUGGGUUACAUCAACGGACUCUUCAGUUCACAGAUGGAGUGCUCAAGGACGGAACCCUCGAAAGAUUUUUGAAAGAGAAAAUUCUCUACUGAUUGGAAAUUUGUCACUUUCGAGAAUAAGGGUGUCAUUAUAAGAAUCUACUCCUGCAUCAAGAGAUACUCCCUUCCUAAAUGACGUAAGAGGAUUAAUUGAAGAAAUAGAUUAGCAAAAUCACUAUAAAUUUAGGCAAAUGUGAGAAAUCUGAGAACUUUUAGAAUAUUGUGAUUUUAUUUAUUUAUUUAUUGGUAUUUUAACUUUUUGGUAUACUGUAAAUGUUGAAUACUCCUUUUUAUGAUAAACCAAAUAAAGAAUGAAAAUUUGGGGUAAAUAAAGAAUGAUAAACCAAACACACUUUAUAUAGUUUGGUGUGUGCAUAUCUUUAUAUAGGUUCCUGUAUAUAAACAACCAACAUUAACUAUUCCUAGUAUCCCUGCAAUGGUACAACAUGUUGUUUUGGAUGAUAAAAGGCAUUGUCCUGACAAAGGUAAUCACGGUGUUUUCUGUUCGUGUUAUUAUGCAAAACAUGUUAAUAUUGAGAUUUAUUCCGUAAUCUUUUUGCCGUCUUCGGUGCUGGUAAAUGGCUCUUCAUAGGAUACUUCUGGUUCAGUGAAGCUGUGAGAAAUUACAAAAGGUGCUCUAAUUGAGGACUAUGGAAACGUAAGAAUCAGUUUUCCAUUCAUUUGGUAAUCUUGCUGGCAGCGUGGGAAUGAGCAUAAGUGUUCAUUUUAUAAUUUUCAAAGUGCAACUAUAGUUAAUUGUCUCAUUGGUUGGUUGAAAAUAACUCAUACUUUACAUUUGAACUUAUGUAGGUUUCAUUAGAGGAAAAACAGGAGGACCUACUGAGAAGGUAUGAUAUUCAUCAUCACCAAUUUGACUCUCAAUUAUUUCUUGUUCUAACUAUACGUGUUAAAGCUGCCGCCUCCUAAGAAAUAUUGAUUAUUAAAGAAUUUUGUAUGUCUUUAUUCUAUAAUAAUAUAUACUUUUCAAAUCUGCAUCUCUUGUUCAAUAGCAGGCUUGAAGAAAUUGUACAUAAAUGGAUUCAACAAUUUCAGUAAUUUUCUCUGUUUCAGACAAAAAAAAAAGCAUUUAAGAAAACAAAGAGUUAUAAAAAUGUUUGAUAAAAGGUUUGUUUGUUUUGUUCGCAGGGGAAAGGAAGAUGAGCAAUUCUAAAAGACCUCAUUAAAAUUGUUGUUCAACACCCAAAGAAUUCUGGUAAUCGAUUACCACCAGGCUGUAACCGAUUACCAGGGACAUUUUGCACAUACAACACUCUAGUAAGCCAUUACAACCAUGCUGUAAUAGCUUACCAAGCAGUACUACUACACUUCACCAGUUGGUAAUCGAUUACAAUGAGUUUGUAAUCGAUUACCAGGCCCAUUUUUGCCUACAAAGUUGAAGUCGUGCAGGGAGGGCACGACUUUACCACGUUGUAAUCGAUUACAGCUCCCUGUAAUCGAUUACAAAGAGCUAAAGUCGUUUUUGGGGUGCACGACUUCAUCACUGUUCAUGUGAACAAUGUGAAGUCGUGCUUGGGGGGUAAGACUUCUUUAUUAGAAGUCUUUUGGGCCCCCACGACUUCUCUAUUUCCGUAAUUUUUCCCAAAUUUGCCUAUUUCCAUAAUUAAGCAGUCAAAUUUGUCCAUAUCCGUACAAAAACCCACUAUUGUGACUUUGUUAACUUCCUCUAAACAUUAGUUUUAACAUAUUAGUGUAGGAAAGCCAUUUUAUAUCAAUUAAAUAAAAGGUAAUUAUUUUUUUUUUUAUAUUUGAUUCUUCAAUCAGUAUAAAAAGCUUCACUUUCUAUAAGAAUGUCUCAAUAAUGGUGAACAAUGAUAAGGGCAUGCCACCGAAGAACCAGUAAUUUACCAAAACCAUUGUACACACCAACAAAACAAUAGAGCAAGCAUUUGAGCAUGAAGUACCUAGAAAACAAUUGAAAGGGUUGAAUAGUGUUAUUGAAAAACUUUUCGCAAACUUUAUUUGAGGAUUGAAAGACUUUAUGCUAAUAGUUAGAUGCUUGACUUUGGAAAAUAAUAAAAUCUUUUCAAGUGCUUUUCAGUUGUUAAAAUAUUUAUGUUGUAGCAUUUUAAUAAUACUUCCUUUUUAAUAACGAAUUGUUUAAUGGAGGAAGCAUUUAUGUAAAGCCUGAGAAAAAGACAACAUUAGGAGGGUGAACACGUGGCAGAAGAUAAUGGGUUGAACCAUUAUUAGUAAAACUCUUGAAAAGUUCUGAGUUCAUUUCCCAUUAUCUAAAAACCUUGCCUCUCUUCAACGUUUUCUUCUUCUCUGCUCUACCAUCUCUCCAUCUCAACUCAAAUGUUAACAGUUAGUUUGUUGAUCAGACGCUGCCUAGACAAUCCGGGCUUCAAGAGCAACAAUCCCAUCCGAUCAAUUUUUUUUGUUGUCCUCCGGUAAGUCAUUUUCCAUAUUCCUAUUCUAUGUUAGGGUUGUGAUCAUGUAGCAAGCCUUGCUGCAUGUAGUACAUUGCGCCUUCCUUCAAGUUAUAGACACAAUUAGGUUUCAAAAUCUAUUUUCUCUUUUCAAUUGAUAAUCUAUAGGUGGCUCUAACCUAUUCUUGAAGAGUAAGUGAGAUAUCGAGAUCUUCCUGUGAUUUGAGCGGUUCGACUUAGAGGUAAGGGAAGCUGCGGUUGUUGUGUUGUUCUGUGAAAUUCUUGGGUUGCACGAGUUAGAUUCAGUAGAAACUGUGAUAAAAUGCAUGUGAAGAUUAUGUGUUAGACUUUGAUUAUAGCUAAUAUGAGAAUUUGUGAUUUUUGCCUAGUUGAACAUGUGCUACUGGUUGAGUCUGUUAUGAACUGUGAAUUGGAUGCUUAUGAACUGGUAUUGAUACAAUGUUGCGAUGAUAUUUAGUGGUUAGAUCGAAUGAAUUUUGUUAAACAGAUUAAUAAAAGAUAGUCAAGUGAAAUAUUGGGGUUUUAGGUCCUAUGAAGAGAACCAAGGCAGUCAAAAUUUGAAUUGGGUAUUUCAGGUUGUUCUGGCCAGUUUAGAUAGCUUAAGUAAGUCAAUUGUGACCUAUUAGAAGUGUUAAAAGUGUUAAAAACAGUUUCUAAGUUGUAGAGUUAGAAUUGGGUAGCUAGGUGGAUGAAAUUGAAGAUUUAAAGUGUAAACCAAUGCAUAAUCACUAGAUAAUGAGGUUAGAAACUGUUAAAAUCAAUCAGGCAAGUUCAAUUCAUUUUGUAGAUCAAAUUAGGAGUGUUAGAAGUUCAUCAAAAAGCCUAGAAUGAAAUUCGAGUAGUUGAGUUCUGCAAUUCUGCAGAAUUUGCAGACUCGCUGUGCGUCGCACAACGAGUCGUGUUGGUGAAUUGCUCUCUGCUAGGGCAUUCGCGUAGCGCAUGAGGUGCACUCUUCGAAUCUCGAAUGAGAGUGGUAGGCGCCUUGUGAAUUGGAUUUGUUGUGCCAUUGGUGUUGGGUCUGGAAAUUUACUAAUUAAUUUGAGGAGCAUGAUACAUGCGCUAUGCGAGAGUGGGAGGCCUGGAGCCUUUGUGGUUUAAUUCGAAGUGCGAGAUCCCUCGCUAUGCGAAUGCGUUGAACUGGGUUGCCUUUGUCUAAGGACUCGUUAUGUGAACCAGAUUCGCUAUGCGAAUGUUACUUGGUUUCGCAUAGCGAGCUUGUGUGCCAAGCGAAUCAUUUCGCUAUGACAUAUUCUUUUCUACUUUCUUUGUGAAUGAUAGUUGAUGUGUGACUUAUAUAUGGUUUUGUAUGAUUGUGAAUGAUAUGUUAUAAAUGAUGAGAGGAUGUUUAUUACUAAGAUAAUAGGGAACUUUGUUAAAAUGUGAUGUGGUUACAAUUCAAGGUAAGAUCUCUAGGUGAGAUCAUCAUAGUGUUUAGAAUGAAUAUAAGAGGCUUCUUUAUGAGGGAUUAUCCUAACACUCUAAGGGUUUCAUUCUCACUUAGAGAGGAUUGACGCAUGUGGUGAGAGUAGUAGGUGGUCUUAGUGUAGGCAUUACUUGGAAGCCUAUUGUGCGGUAACGGACUAACACUUGUGUGUGGUAGGGUGAAACCCGUU